CGCCCGCGCAUGCGCUGUCCAGGGCCGACGCGGUUGUAUCAUGCUGAGAAGGAGCCGGGCGGGGGCCGGCGGGGCUGCGAGGGCCCUGUGAGGAGGGGCACCUGCCACUAGAAGCGGCCUCUGGGACGUCGCGCUGAGCCCUGCUUUGGAGUCAGAGGGGCUUUCCGCCUCGGUGAACUCGAGAGUAGCAACUCUCCUCCGGGUAACCGGAGUGCCACAGCGGGCAGGCGUCAUAAGGACAGGCCUCGGAGAGGAGAGGGGCUACCCGAGAAUGGCCUCAAAACAUAACAUGUGACACAUGGCAGCCAUUUUGGAGAUGGCCAGAUGAGAGGACAAUCAAUCCACAUGCCUAAAUGGAACCAACAGACAUGUGCCAGCUUGCUUCUCCAGCCUAUGUUCUCAGACACUUGUAGAAGACCAGAGGGAAAAUGGAAUCAGAAAAAACAGCAACAACAACAAAAAGCCAUCCAGGGCCAUGCACAGUGGCUCACUCCUGUAAUCCCAACAGUUUGGGAGGCCAAGGCAGGUGGAUUGCUUGAGCUCAGCAGUUUAAGACCAGCCUGGGCAACAUGGCGAAACCCUUUCUCUACUAAAUACAAAAACUAGCUGGGUGUGGUGGCAUGCACCUGUAGUCCCAGCUACUCGGGAGGCUGAGGUGGGAGGAUCACCUGAGCCUGGGAGGUUGAAGCUGCAGUGAGCUGUGAUGGUGCCACUGCACUCCCACCUGGGUGACAGAGCAAGACCCUGUCUCAAAAAAACAAAACUAAACAAAAAAAUCCAUGUGGGAAAAGGCCCAAUCAGAGCCAACUCACUGCUGGGAUUAGUAGAAAUGAUUAGUCACCAGAAGGCAAAUCGUGGAAGAAUGAAGAGAUGACAGGACCUCAGGAACUACACCCAGAGGUGUAGUUGUGCCGUAGGCAAAGCAUCAUGCCGGUCAUCCCCAAGAAAGGGAGAAGGGGUAGAGCUCAGACUCUUCCCUGCUUCCCCAUAAGUCCAGUUUACCCUGGGCUGAUCCUUUCAGCAUGGCAGCCUCCGUGGGGAGGCACGAGAUCCAAAGAUGAAGAUGUCUAUGGGGGUGAAGAAGAAUGGCAAACUUUGCAGGCAAGAGUAGGCAUUAGAGAGAUCAGAGGAGGAAGACAAUAGAGAAGGAUGACACAGGACAGGCUGUAUCUAGAGGAUAUAAUGCCAUGGACUUUGGACUAUUCCAGAGAGGCUGAGAGACCUGUCUCCUGCCUACAAGGCUCCUUGAACUCUGCACCCUUCUUUUUGCUAAAGUGCUGCUGAGGCCUGUCUCACUUCCCAAUGAAAAGCAACUCAGGAAAUUGGCUUCCUGCCCCACUCCUUCUUUGGGAGAGAGAAACAGAACUGAAGAGGAAGGAAGGAAGCCCAAAGAAACAGAGGCUUUCUUUCCUGGCUGAGAUUUGUUGGCACUGCCCACUAACAUAGAGAAUAAGGUGGUUCCCUAAGCGAGCCUUAAGCUGGCAUGAGGCUACAAACAAGUGAUUGUAUCUUCGUUCUGCUCAGCAGCCUACCUGGGCUGGCCUGGACAACCUCAAUUGUAUACUGAGGUCUUAAGCUGGCCAUGGCCCUUGGUAAAGCAGGAGAAAGGAAUAAGGCUGGAAGGUACAGAAUUUGCUUGAUGCCUUGCCUACAUAAUUCCUUUGCUGUUGCAACUGGCAACUCUUUGCUUGCAUUAUAUGAAAAAAAGGCGGUAAAAAAUUGUCAGAAAUGUUUGCCACCAGCCUAACCCCACUGCCCAUGCAUUGCUCCCAAGAAAGCUAAUUAAGGCCCAUUGCUAUUAGAGUUACAUGAUUCUGAAGGCUUGUUAUGACAAGAAAAAAUAAUGAAGACAUGGUUCCUCCAAGUCAUAAGCAUCCAAGUCAAAACAUACUGCAUCCCAGGCGAGUGUGGUGGCUCACGCCUGUAAUCCCAGCACUUCGGGAGGCCAAGGCAGCCGGAUCACGAGGUCAGGAGUUCGAGACCAGCCUUGCCAAGAUGAUGAAACCCCGUCUCUACUAAAAAUACAAAAAUUAGCCAGGCAUGGUGGCGGGCGCCUGUACUCCCAGCUACUCAGGAAGCUGAGGCAGGAGAAUCGCUUGAAACCGGGAGGCGGAGGUUGCAAUGAGCCGAGAUCACACCACUGCACUGUACCCUGGGCGUCAGAGCAAGACUCCAUCUCAAAAAAAAAAGAAAAAAACAUCCUGCAUCCCUUGUUCCUUUGUGUUCCCCUAGACAAGCCUCUGGGCUGGCUUUGCCUAUCUCAUGCAUGCAGGCAGUCAUCCUCCUUUGGCCAGUGCAUACCUGACUCCUACUCAGUGCCAGGCCUGGAGAAGACUGUGAGACCUGCCCUUGAGGAGUUCUGUUUGCAGGAAGAGAGUGAUAGGCACACAAAUUAUUUCCAAUAAACUACAGAAAAUGUCACCAGAAUCUCUAUUGUGAUCAUGUCCCCCACCCAUGUCUGUUUCAUAGAUUGGGGGAGAACAGGCCCGGGUGGAAAGUCAUGCACUUAUGCCCUCUCCUGACCAGCCCACAUGUCCUACCCCAGCCAACAGUGGUUCAGGCAUGACUCUGACUGCUCAUGGGAAAGAGCAGCUUGCUCA
rnacentral:lncRNA from 1 species